CCCAUUCAAACAAGUAAUUCAGGUAUAAUUCAUCUCUCACCAGGCGGCCAGUGAGACAGCUGCAGUUGACAAGAAGGAAAUAUGUCUUGAAGAAAGUACAAUUAGUGCAGAAUGGAGGCCGACGGAACCGACGACAUAAUCACGAGAACAGCAAGUUCCUGGAUGUUACCAAAAGGACCAAAACAUCAUAACUUGAGGAUUAUUUACUGUUCCAGUUGUUUGACAUCAUUAAUUAAGAGUCCUGGUCUGGAUGCACAUGGGGGAUGUAUUAUAAUGUUGCCAUGCUUGCAAUGUUCCUGCUCAAAGAUACUGUAAGUACUGUAUUCUACCAACCUUGCAUGUUGGGAAAAUGGGAGUAUCAAAUUGUACACAUAUCUGAUUCACCUCUUCAACUGAUUGUUUGUGUUAUUUGAAUAAUAGUGGUACCUCGGGGUUUAGUUUUUUUUUUUUUUUUUUUUUGUGAUAAGGCAUCCAACCCGUAGAAAAUCAAAGCAAUUUAUAAGAAAUAUUGGAAAAGAAAACCAAAAAUAUUAACACAAGACACAUUUUAAAGAAAUAUUUAUAGUUUUACAUGGGGAAAACAAUGCAAAAUACAUCAAUGAAAUGGAGAAAUGAAUAUUUUACCAUAACAUUUAUCUUUUUUGAAGUGUGUGUGUCUGUGUGUGUAUUUGUGUGUAUACAUACAUAUGUAUAUUUGUGUGUGUGUAUGUAU